UCCUAUCUCCCCACCCCCAUUUUAUAGAGGAUGGGAAAAUGAAUUUAAAGGACAUUGUCAAGAAUUUGACCGAUACCAAAAAAUUGAAUAAGACACAGCAAGUGGAAAAUGCAUGGCAUACUGUCAACAAUAUCAGUGCGGGGAAAGUCAAUGUCAAUGAUCUAGUGCCAAUUUUGAAGAGCCUGGAAAUCAGUUUAACUGAUGACGAUGGUAAAAAAAUAAUGAAAUCUGUUAAGAUAGAUGAAGAAGAAAUGGUAAAUUUAAAAGAUGUUAUUGAUAAAUUGAUCAAGGAGACGAAAGAAAAGAUCCAACGUGAGUAUGAAUAUGUAUCUUC
rnacentral:lncRNA from 1 species